GUGUAGUGUUGGAGCACCCCUGUUUUCGCAUUAGCAAUUCCCUGUGCCUCUCCUCCUCCCCAGGCGCAGAGAGGCACGCAGGCAAACAACACUCUAUCUGCAACCCGGUUACCACUGCGAGCAACUACAGCUUUUUGUUUAACUGUAUAAUUGCUCUCUCGGUGGGUUGUGGGUUUUCUUUUCCCCAUCUCCAUUUGUUUUCUUAAUAAUUAAGACCAGUAUAUUUAAAUGGUCCUUUUUUUUCUCUUUUUUUUUUUUUUUUUUUUUUUUCCUUAACAAGUAUACCGGAUGUAACAAGAUAGGCAGCUAAAAACAUUAAUCAUAUUAAAACUAAUUAAAAACUGAAAAGUUUCUGUGCAUUCCAAGCACUGGGGGUGGGAGGGGGCGGGGAGGCCUUUGGUCUGAGCACUGGCGUUUCCUGAGCGCAAGCAAAUGCCUGACACAUGGACUUCACCGAAUUCCAAAAUGUAGCAAAACAGUGCCUGCAUAUUUGGCAGGAAUCACCACCAGUUCAGGAGAAAAGGGGUGCUAACAGAAGGAAAAAGACUGCCAGAGACUUGGGAAAAAUGAAAGAAAAGAGAUGAAGAAAGAAAGAAGAGAAAAGGCAAACAUUGAUGGCAGUGGAUAAUAAAGAAUGGCAUCUAAAAAGAAUGGUCUGGCA
rnacentral:lncRNA from 1 species